CUGGUCAAAAUGAUAAUUCGAAAAUAAUAAUAAUAAUAAUAAUAAUAAUCUUGGUCACUGCAGAUUAUAUUUCCAAUCAGCUCUUGAUCUGGGCAGACGCGGGGGUGUCGAUGAGCUGAUGGGCAAUGCAGAAACCGCAGAAUCUUUGUACUCAAAGGCAGUACGCCUGCUAGUCUUUCUUUUGGUGGAAGCACCUUCUUUAAUCCUUAACCCCCCAUUCUCUCUCACUAACUCUGACAGAUAUAGGCUCCGGAAUUACAUCGAGAUUCUUAACAGCAGGCAAUGCCAUCUAAGGUCGAUGGGGGUGGUUCGUCUUUAGUGCGACGACCAGCAGUGCCCCACCUAAGGGACGGGAAAAGGAAAAUCUGAAGAGAGACUUGCGUUCUCCUUUUCCUUAAUCCUCUAAUGACUUUGCCCUGCUGCUGUGUAAAAUGUUAUUCGAUUUGUACAGCUAAUUCUUUGAGCAGAGGAAUGGUAUUUUAAUUAGUCACUGGUGGUUGUGGCGGAGGUGAAGAAUGUGAAGUUUGGAUUUCUUCCGUGGUUUAAAAGGAAACAACAAAAAAUGUGCAUUCUUUGUUCGAUUCUUAUCGUCGAUUGAGUUACUAUAAUUCCAUAGUCCUUUGUAUAUAAAGUUGGAGGACCAUUGUUCGUUUAUC